AUCCUUUUGUGGUUCCUAAGUGUGAUAAUUGGGAUUCCACGCUCAUGUGUGAGAUGUGUCUCCCUUAAACCUUUUCACAACACUAGUAUAUUACCUGUCUGAUG